GACGAACGCUGGCGGCGUGCCUAAUACAUGCAAGUUGAGCGCUGAAGGUUGGUACUUGUACCAACUGGAUGAGCAGCGAACGGGUGAGUAACGCGUGGGGAGUCUGCCUUUGAGCGGGGGACAACAUUUGGAAACGAAUGCUAAUACCGCAUAAAAACUUUAAACACAAGUUUUAAGUUUGAAAGAUGCAAUUGCAUCACUCAAAGAUGAUCCCGCGUUGUAUUAGCUAGUUGGUGAGGUAAAGGCCCACCAAGGCGAUGAUACAUAGCCGACCUGAGAGGGUGAUCGGCCACAUUGGGACUGAGACACGGCCCAAACUCCUACGGGAGGCAGCAGUAGGGAAUCUUCGGCAAUGGACGAAAGUCUGACCGAGCAACGCCGCGUGAGUGAAGAAGGUUUUCGGAUCGUAAAACUCUGUUGGUAGAGAAGAACGUUGGUGAGAGUGGAAAGCUCAUCAAGUGACGGUAACUACCCAGAAAGGGACGGCUAGCUACGUG
rnacentral:rRNA from 1 species